CCUGAGGAGUGAUACUGAGGAGGGUGCCACCUGUGGAGCAUAAACGGGCCGGCCAGCCGGAGACGGUCGCUGCGUUGUGUUUUACUGUGAACGUGCGGAUGGGCUCGACUGGCUACUAACUCCGGUUUAGUGAUUUAUACCUAACUAGUGAGGUGGACACCAAACACCGACCGACAGUCGUCCACCGGUGCGUGUACGAAAAGGGAAGGUGUCUUGGUUGAGUCUGAGCGGUGUGUCUUUAUCCUAGCUGGCUAGUUCAGGUAGAGUGGUAGGGCCGCACUGUGGACACAAGAAAGGGUAAACAGAUACAUUUAGUUUCCGCGCCGUGUACUAGGAGGGGGCAGUACGGGCACUAGGGCAGGCGGCGUCGUGCGUUGGGUAGCGGCGCGCGCCGCGGUGGUAAUAAAAAUAGGAGGAGAAGAUAUUCGUAGGUGAGGAGGAUGACCGGGCCUCUCUUUGUUUAGGGUCUCUAAUCUAAUCGCUUGAGCCUCGUGAGGGCGAGGGCGUGAAGAGAGACACGGGCGCUGACCCGGGGGUAGCUGAGAAGGGCGAGCCGUUUGGCGGGCGCGCGCUAGGCUCUUGCCGCCCGCGGUACCGCCUGUUGUCCAGCCGCCGUCGCCGCCGCCACCCCGGCGACGACGACGGCGCCUUCUUCAGCAGCAGCCCCCGCCGCGUCAUGUGGGCCUCGCGCAGCGUGCGCCCCCUGCUCGACGCGUCGAAGGCCCGGACGGAGGCGACCUACACGUAGCUGGUGUGGCUGCCCGGCGCGAGGCGCCCGAGGACCCGCCAGAAGAAGGAGGAGCGGCAGCGGCGCGGCCGGCGCCAGUGGGACCGGGAGGGCCGGAGCCGGGGCGGCGCCGGCGACCUGCCCGUCCACGUCCAGAGCGAGUGGGACCGGCGGUGCGAGCGGAAGGAGAGGGAGACGAGCGACGAGGCCCAGCCGGAGGCGGCGGACGAGACGUAGCUGGCGGAGGCCGUGCUGAGCCUGCUCCACGCGCGGCCCAUGUGGCGCGUCGAGUUGGCGAGGAAGGCGCAGGAGCGGACGAAGGAGCGCGGUACGAGGGAGCGGCUGCGGCGGAUGUUCCAGAUGACCAUGACCCGGCGGCGCGGGAAGGCGAGCGGGACCACCUUGCGGCGGCGUACGCGCGAGCUCCGGCGGAGUACCCAGAUGGCGUGGCGGCAGAAGAAGUACUAGACGCACGAGAAGGCCCAGUAGACGAUGGACGUCCACGAGGCGUACCAGCCGAAGCGCGCGCUCAAGCCGUCCAAGCGGCUGCAGCGGCAGCACGACCUCGUGGUGGCUGCCUAGUCCCUGGUCGAGGCGGCCUAGUCGGUGGCCAUGGCGGCCAAGUAGUAGAAGACGGAGCACGAGCAGUGGCGGUCGGUCAAGAGGCGGGACGAGCGGUGGUGGUCCGGUGUACGCGCCUAGUUAUAGCGGUGGCGGCCGCUCGAGCGCGAGACGAGUCACUCGGAGCACCGCCCCGACGACCAGACGGAGGUGUCGCGCCGGUUCUAGUGCGUGUUCUGUGUCCGGUAGUGCUCGCACCGCCGCCGCACCGUGCGCCUGCGGUGGUAGGUGCGGAAGCUGUUGCUGGACCUCCUGGGGCUGGGGCGGGACGGGCGGCGGUGGCCGAUGGACCGCGGCCGGUUGCGGAUGGCCCACCGGGGGCCGCUCCUCAGGCUGCCGAUGCCCCUGCUGCUGCUACUGCUGCUGUUGUACUCGCUCCCGAGGUAGCUGCUGAGGUUCGAGCACGGGAAGGUCCAGUUGUUGUACACGAAGGUCUUCUCCGUCCGUGACCACUUGAUGGACCUCUUGUUGGCCCGCCCGUAGUGCCACAUGCCGAAGCACCAGCUGGCCUGUACCGACGUGCGCGAGAAGUACUAGCUCAAGAGCGAGCAGUACACCGACGACCCCUUCUGCCAGCCAUAUAGAACUUCCGGGAAACUACGACAGCGGCUAAGAGGGCUGCAAACUACGUCCCCGAGUGGAGCCUACAUGUUUAACUCGCGUGUAUCAAGUGAUGAAGUCAUAAAGCGGUGCGUAUUUUGUGUGUGUAGCAAGAAAAAACGGGAGGAUUCAUAAUCAACACGUCAAAAAAAAAACGCUUUUAAUCAACACGUCACAAAUUUUUUUCAUAAUCGGCACGUGAACUAAACUACUUUUCUUAUGUAUACACCGUUAUAAUCUACGUUUCCCAAACUAACCUACUUUACUACAGCUCAUUAUAAUCAGGAGUUGAAGGCGUCCAGCUAGAUACUUUUCAUAAAAAACUUCCCUUUGUAAGAACCGGUCCCGCGGCCGGCUUGGUAACGCGGCCAGUGCGCGCCAAGCAAGCUAACGUCGUCUAGUAGACCGGACACACGCCGGAAUAGACGACUGGGGUGGCGAAAAAUUAGAUGACUUGGGUUGACCAGGAGAAGGAAUAGGAAAGAAAGAAUAGGAGAACGCAAGGGUCGGUGUGUCGGUAAGAAAGGGGUGCAGGAGAGGGAGGGCACCAGAUGGAGGUUUAUUUGUCGAGCGGCCGCCGCCUUCUCCACACACCGCUCGCUCGCUGGGGCCUCCUCGUGUUUGCUUUUACGUCUCUACGUAUCUCCUACUGACAGCCGUUCGCCUCCACACCACGAAGUUCGAUGUCGCCGUCGGACACCUACGACCGUUCUCGAUGUUGUUACCGCCGGUCCACGACUUUAGGCGUGUUUAAAAACGAAGUUAGCCGCAAAACAAAAAACGACUUUGAUCGCGACAAGACAUACAAAAACGAUGGUGGCAAAACAUAAAACGACCUUGGUCGCAGCAAAAAAACGACGGUGGCGCAAAAACUAAACGACCUUGGUCGGGAGCUGAAACGUAGAAACGAUGGUGGUACCACCGGUCUACGACCUUGGGCGUGUUAAAAAACGAAGGUAGCCACAAAACCAAAAUGACUUUGAUCGCAGCAGAAAACAUAAAAAACGAUGGUGGGAAAACAUAAAACGACCUUGGUCGCAACUAAAAACGAUGGUAGCGGAAAAACUAAACGACCUUGGUCGGGAGUUGAAACGUAGAAACGAUGGUGGUCACAAGACCAAACGAUCUUGUUCGAAGUUAAAAACGAUGGUGGUCCCAAACCAAACAACCCUGCGGCAGAUUAAAGGCUAUAAAAACGAUGAUGGCAAAGAACCAAACGACCUUGGUCGGGGUUAAAAACGAUGUUGACGGCAAACGACGCUCUGGUGCCUCAACAGCGGUAAACAAAGAUGUCUUCCCGCUCCCUCCCCCUACCCGUAGUGGCCACUCGUUUAACUCCCGCUCCAUGCCGCGCUCGAGCUGCUGCCCCACGACGCUGGUAGAGGUGGUCCCAACGGUACCGGCCAUUCGUGCCAGCGGGUUCCUACGCCGCCGCUCGCACCCAACGGCCACUUGUGCUACGGCUCUUGCUCGCACCCCCGCCGGUUCCUACGCAGCCGCUCUCGGGCAACAGCCGCUCGUACUCUGGCUCCUGCUCGCGCCCGCCGGGUUCCUACGCAGCCGCUCUCGCCCAAAGGCCGCUCGUACUCCGGCUCCUGCUCGCGCCCGCCGCGUUCACCUUCCGCUCGCGCCGCGACCCCUUUCAACGUGCUCUGCCACUUUAUGUCCCGCUCUACGCAGUCCUCCUUCUACUACAGACCCCGCUUAGCAAAAAAAAGAUAUAUAGGUUGCCCCGUAGACCGCCGAUCCCACGCUGGCCGGCUUUGAAAGCCGGCCGCGCGGCCACGGGUCAUAACGGGAAAAAACUUGGUAGACCCAUGUGCCUAGUACAGAACACCUCAUUAAUGAAAUGUAUUUUUUACAUUUAAAAUAAUGCAUGAAGGAUCAAUCCUCCAACACGCGCGAAACGAUGCGCCAACAACAACAACCCAAAGAAUUUUUUUAAUGAGUUAGAUAAAGUUUUACAUUCCACAUAAUGAAAAAAAAUUUUCAGUUGGUAAAAUUCAAACUAGUUUAAACAUCUCUUUAUAUAGUUCGGCGUUAUAGUUUAGCUAUACUAAUCUAUGUAGUACUUUACUUAAAUGUAUGAAAAAAAUAGAACACCUACAGCUAUAAAAAACGAGACUUGAAACAGUUUCAAUUUUUUUAAACUAAAAGGUUUUUUAUUAGGGGAAUAUAAAAAUAAAACUUUAACUACCUUAUAAAUCAAACCGGCCACCCCAUCUACUACCUCACACAAAAUAAAAUAAAUAUUACGCACUAAACUACACGGAAAGACCACACCAGGACACAACAGGCGAUUGAUUGCAUAUAAAUACACUCCUUAAAAAAAGUAGCCACCGACGUAAUAUAACCACAAUGUCAUAGUGUACCGCCGCGAAGAAAAAAGAUCCAGCACCC
rnacentral:rRNA from 1 species